CGGAGGAUCCAAGCGUUAUCCGGAAUCAUUGGGUUUAAAGGGUCCGUAGGCGGUUUAAUAAGUCAGUGGUGAAAUCUGGUCGCUCAACGAUCAAACGGCCAUUGAUACUGUUAGACUUGAAUUAUUGGGAAGUAACUAGAAUAUGUAGUGUAGCGGUGAAAUGCUUAGAUAUUACAUGGAAUACCAAUUGCGAAGGCAGGUUACUAUCAAUACAUUGACGCUGAUGGACGAAAGCGUGGGGAGCGAACAGGAUU
rnacentral:rRNA from 1 species